CCUCAAGCUAGAAAGGGCACAUGGUGAAUGCCUUGGCAGUUGGAGGCGAUGAAGGACGUGGUAAGCUGCGUUAAGCGUCGGAGAGGUGCACACAACCUUUGACCCGGCGAUUUCCGAAUGGGGAAACCCGUGCGGGGUCAUGCCCGUACAUCCUGGGAUGAAUCGAUAGUCCCAGGAAGCGAACCCGGGGAAGUGAAACAUCUCAGUACCCGGAGGAAAAGAAAGCGACUGCGAUUCCCUCAGUAGUGGCGAGCGAACGGGGAACAGCCUAAACCGAUCCCGGUGCCAAGUCGGCGGACGUUGCCGGGGCGGUGUCGCGGGACCAACCUUGUCUACUGCCGUGCGACAGAGGAGUCAGAAAGGUCCAUUCCUAGCCGAAUCACCCUGGAAAGGAGAACCAGAGACGGUGACAGUCCGGUAGGCGAAAGGAAUGAACUCUCCUGGUUGAGUUCCCAAGUACCACGGGACACGGGAAAUCCCGUGGGAAUUCGGGAGGACCACCUCUCAAGGCUAAACACUACCAACUGACCGAUAGCGCACAAGUACCGUGAGGGAAAGGUGAAAAGAACCCCUGGCGGGGAGUGAAAUAGAACCUGAAACCACGUGCCUACAAUCAGCGGGAGCAAGCGCUUGUCUUUCCUUCGGGUUCGACUCGCGCUGUGACCGCGUGCCUUUUGCAUAAUGAGCCGGCGAGUGACUGUGUGCAGCGAGGCUAAGUCUCUCUGAGACGCAACCGCAGCGAAAGCGAGUCCUAAUCGGGCGACCAGUUGCACGCACUCGACCCGAAGCCCGGUGAUCUACCCAUGGCCAGGUUGAACUCUCGGUAACACGAGAGGGAGGACCGAACCGGUGAGUCUUGCAAUACUCUCGGAUGAGCUGUGGGUCGGAGUGAAAGGCUAAUCAAACCGGGUGAUAGCUGGUUCUCCCCGAAAUGCUUUUGGGAGCAGCCUCAGGAGUUCAGUUGCGGAGGUAGAGCACUGAACGGGCGCUCUGACACAAUGUGUCGGAAAACCCGACCAAACUCCGAAUGCCGCAACUCCAGAUCCUGGGAGUGAGGCCGCGAGCUAUGAGGUCCGUGGCCGAGAGGGGAAUAACCCAGACCAUCAGCUAAGGCCCCUAAGUGUAUGCUAAGUGGAAAAAGAGGUGGGAAUACACAGACAGCUGGGAUGUUGGCUUAGAAGCAGCAACCAUUCAAAGAGUGCGUAACAGCUCACCAGUCGAGUGUUCCUGCGCUGAAAAUAUAUCGGGGCUCAAGCAUACCGCCGAAGCUAUGGACUUGUCCUGACUCCGGUCAGGAUGAGUGGUAGGGGAGCGUUCUGUUGUAGGCUGAAGGUGUGCCGCGAGGCAUGCUCGACGAACCAGAAGUGAUUAUGCCGGCAUGAGUAGCGACAAGACAGGUGAAAAACCUGUCCGCCGAAAACCCAAGGUUUUCUGGGGAAGGUUAAUCCGCCCAGAGUUAGUCGGGCCCUAAGCCGAGGCCGAAAGGCGUAGGCGAUGGAAAUCCGGUCAACAUUCCGGAACCACCUUGGUACCGUUACGAGCUAUGGGGAGACGCAGCCGCGAUCGUCCGGCCCCGUGUCGGAUCGGGGUCUAAGCCGCCGGGAUGGGGCGCAGGCAAACCCACGCCCGCAAUUCCUGACGGCGAAUGGGAUUCUGUCGCAAGACAGAAGAACCGGACCUGAACGGCUGCCGAGAAAAUCCUCUGUGCCAGGUGCCGGGGUGCCCGUACCGUAAACCGACACAGGUGGGUGAGGUGAGUAUCCAAAGGCGCUCGAGUGAUGUCUCGUUAAGGAACUCGGCAACAUGACCCCGUAACUUCGGGAUAAGGGGUCCCGCCGCAAGGCGGGCGCAGAGAAGUGGCGCUGGCGACUGUUUAGCAAAAACACAGGUCUCUGCCAAGCCGCAAGGCAACGUAUAGGGACUGACACCUGCCCGGUGCCGGAAGGUUAAGGAAGGGGCUCAGCUCACUUCGGUGGGCGAAGGUCUCGACCGAAGCCCCGGUAAACGGCGGCCGUAACUCUAACGGUCCUAAGGUAGCGAAAUUCCUUGUCGGGUAAGUUCCGACCUGCACGAAUGGUGUAACGACUGGCGCGCUGUCUUGACGGGAUGCUCGGCGAAAUUGAAGUGGCGGUGAAGAUGCCGCCUACCCGCGAUCGGACAAAAAGACCCCGUGAACCUUUACUGCAACUUGUCAUUGGAUCUUGGCAGUGCAUGUGUAGCAUAGGUGGGAGGCUUUGAAGCCGGGACGCCAGUCCCGGUGGAGCCACCGGUGAAAUACCACCCUUGUUCUGUUGGGGUUCUAACAUCAUGCCGUGAAGCCGGCUGGUGGACAGUGGCUGGUGGGCAGUUUGACUGGGGCGGUCGCCUCCUAAACGGUAACGGAGGCGUUCAAAGGUCAGCUCGGUACGGACGGUCACCGUACGGUGAGUGCAAGGGCAUAAGCUGGCCUGACUGUGAGACGGACACGUCGAGCAGGGACGAAAGUCGGACCUAGUGAUCCUGUGGCACUGCGUGGAAAGGCCAUAGCUCAGCGGACAAAAGGUACUCCGGGGAUAACAGGCUGAUUCCGCCCGAGAGUUCACAUCGACGGCGGAGUUUGGCACCUCGAUGUCGGCUCAUCGCAUCCUGGGGCUGUACAAGGUCCCAAGGGUUGGUCUGUUCGCCCAUUAAAGCGGUACGUGAGCUGGGUUCAGAACGUCGUGAGACAGUUCGGACUCUAUCCAUCGUGGGCGUAGGAAACUUGAGGGAAGCUGCUCUUAGUACGAGAGGACCAGAGUGGACGUACCUCUGAUGCACCAGUUGUCCUGCCAAGGGCACGGCUGGGUAGUCAAGUACGGAAGAGAUAACCGCUGAAGGCAUCUAAGCGGGAAGCUCCUCCCAAGAUUAGGUUUCCCGUGUGGACCUGCUUCGGCAGGCCCACCCUGAAGGCCCCUGGAAGACUACCAGGUGAUAGGUCACAGGUGUAAGCACAGAGAUGUGUUCAGCCGAGUGAUACUAAUAGGCCGUGCGGCUUGGGGUU
rnacentral:rRNA from 1 species